rnacentral:tRNA from 2 species
GCGGGGUUACCCGAGCGGCCAAAGGGGGCAGGCUCAAGACCUGCUGGCGUAGGCCUACCAGGGUUCGAGUCCCUGACCCCGCA